rnacentral:rRNA from 1 species
AUGUUGCGGCGGUGCAGUUGGAUUUGUGCAUUUAGAUUUUGUCAGGUUUUGUUUGUGUUUUCUGUAGUGCAGUUAGACACUGGUGAUAAUUGUGUUAUUCUACUGCUGGCGCAGCUUUGCUGUUUCAUGGUAUGCGGUUCCGGUGGUGCGGGCAAGCAGUACACGGUUGCGCCUGUGUCCAAGUGGUGUGGUCCGGCUUCCGCGGAACAUGUAGCUCGCUAUCUCAUCGUACACGGUUCUAGCGGCGCGGGCAAGCACUACACGGCCACACCUGCGUCCAAGUGGUGCAGCUCGGUACUCAUGUCGGCGCAGCUCACAACAGCAAAAGGCUUGGUCUCUACUAGACUGGAAACAAUUGCAUCUUGCUUCCACAAAAUGGUAAUAAUACAAGGAGUUAUUUGGACCAUGUAG